AUGAUACUGAGGUACUAGGGAGCUGUGAAGCAUAUGCUGUGAGACAACACAGCUGAGCAGCCCAGCCAGAGCCCCCUGGGGAAGCCGUCAGAGGUCAGCAGCUCCCGUCUCCUUCCCUCUUGACUCCUAAUAGUCUAGGACAGAACUUUGCCCUCCCUUCUUCCUGUCCCAAAGAUGCACAAUGAUAAUGAUGCUGAUGGUUAUUUAGUAAGAAACUUCCCAACAGGAACAGUCAUCAGGAGGGGGCACAGUUGGAUUCUCUCCAGUGAAGAUGUCAGGAUGGACAGAAAUGUCAGCGUAAUCCAAAGAGGACACAAACACCCCUGCUAUUUUCUUGUCACCAGGAAAAGGCCAGCUCUAGGUCUACUGGGGUUCAUCCCAUCUGAGCCAGGCCUGGCUUUUCUUGGCUGCAAGCUGAGAGCUGGGUCCAGGUCUGCUGAACCAAGGUUCUCCCAUCUUCCUUGAGCCAGUGACAAUCAGAGGCCUAUUUCUUUCAUGACGGAAGGCAGGAGAACAAGCAGCUCCCGGCUCACCCACCCAGCAGCUCAGCACCUGCGAAAUCCGUCUCCCGAUGCACACUUGCUAACCGCGUGGGUGUGAGCACAACGAUGGGAAACAGCGGAAGUCCCCGGAGUGCAGACUCAGGAGUGAACCUGCCUGAAGAGUGGCGUCUAACGCACACACUGUGGUCAGCUCCACCCCACUAUGGGUCCCGGGAAUAGGAGCAAGUAUGUAUUUUGCUUGCAGGGCAGGUGUUUCAUCCACAUUAUUGCAGGAACAGAUGAAUUUAAUUAAAAGAACACCACAGUGGGCACCUCUUCCAGGGAUGUCUCCCUCUAAGAACAUGACACUGAGAUGAUCAAGGUUCUAAAAGGGCGAUCAAAUUACUCUCCGAAAAUGAAACUGCUCAGACAGAAUGACAAUUAAAUUAAUAACAACCAAGACAAUGCCCAGAUUUCAUCUCCGCUCACAGCCCCUCCUGUGUGCUGUAUGAUCAGGUUCUUGGGGUGGCUCCAGAUACAGCAAACAGUCAGGAUUAAUCCACAAGAGUGAGCUGUCAGCAUGAGGUUCCCCUACAGUGGAGCUUGCCAAGGUCCGUGCCUCCCAGGGCACCCGUUCCAGGGCUAACAGAUGAAGCAUGGAAAUGCUGUGUGGAGUGAGCUAAGCAGCCGUUCUCAGGAGAAAACAGACAAAUCCUCCUGCAUCCUGGCAAACCAGCUUUGUGGCCUGUUUUAUGUCAUCUUUGCUGAGCUCCACCGGGUCACCCCUCCUGUUGGCUUUGUGAUACUGACAUUUCAGGCACUGGCACAGAUACAUUGGCCUUCCUGGCUGGGAUUUCACGGACGGAGUGAGCAGUGCUGGCUUGGAGGAGCCGUGGCGGCACAGGGCCUGUGCUCUCAGCUGAUCAACGCCUUGAUAGCCAGGAAAGGCCUGUCCUACCCCAAAGGGCCCUCGCAGCACUGUUUGAAAUUGCUCUUGCCAUCUUUGGAAUGGAUUCCUCAGUACAUUUCAGACUCGUUGUUGUGACUUUGGUUUUAAUCCAGGGACACACCGUGGCCAGUGGAGUGUCUCAACAGCAUCUAUGAUCGCUGUUUCCCAGAGACAGCAUCUCAGAUACCGAUGCUGAAAGAGAAACAGCAGCCUGUCCCCAAGUGGCAGGAAAUAGUCCAUUUUAAUGGCAAUUUCAUAAGUGGCAGAUGAUUUUUAUUGUAAUUUUCUGGUGAGCUGAUUAAGUGGAGGCAGAGUCAGUUCUGAGGCGUCAAUGUCUUUAACAAUUCGGGGAGACGGAGGCCACGCUCAGCAGGAACACUGAGUCCAUGGAAAACAGGCCCUGGGCCCGCUGAUGUGCAUAAUUCCACGUUUGCCCCUCAUGUAACCAGGAUGGUAAAUUACAGGUGUCAGAUAAUCACGCUCUGGAGUGGCUACUUGAGGAUGCGAUCGACCAAUUUAAGCUCCGUCUGACACAUGAUCAAUAGCCCGUGAUGCUGCAUGGAAUUGCAGGCACAGUGUCCAAACCUGCAGAGCAGUGGCUCCCAGCUGGGGCAACUUUGCCCCCCAGAGGACAUUUGGCAAUGUCUGGAUAUGUUUGCAAUUGUCACAACUAGGAAAGGAGGUACCCAUAGGAUACACAGGAAAGUCCUCACACAGUUGUAUCCUGCCCAGACUGUCCGUAGAGCCAGGGUGAGAUGCUCUGACAGAGCCACAGUGAACAUUGCAUUCCAUCAUCUGGGUAUCUCCAGGAAUGUAUGUAGCUGGAUGUCUGGCUUUUCAUCUGGGUUUCACGAGCCUCCUGCAGAACUGAAACCAUGUGCAAAUCAGUUCUCAUACUUGCUCUCCUGCCUCCUUCCUAUUGUAAUUUUUUCUUCCCACCUUUUUUAUUGUUACUAGAGAAAUGAUGAAGAAAAAGAAUAGGCUGGAGAGUCACUCAAAAUUUUGUUUUCCUCAAUUAAAAAGAAGUAAUUUAGAAGUUACUCAAUGAUGUUUUCUUUAAUUAAAAAAAAAAGUAGUUUGGGAAAGCAGAAAAUUAAUGAAGACAGAAAACACAGGUUUCAUGAAAAAGUUCAGCAUCCCAGGAAAGGAGCAAAGAGAAGUCUGCAGAUGAGAGUUGCUCAGUGUCAGGACUCAGAAAACAAUACCCCAAGAUAAUGUUCAAACCUGAGUGCUUUGAACAAAGGAUAUUGAAAGACCUCAGAAGAGGGCCUCAGAACUCACAUGUCUCUCUGACCUUCUCCUGUCUCUCCUUCACUUCCAAAGCAUGAUCUUUGGCCAGGGGAUCUCUCUGGGAUUCCCUUAUCUGCCUGAGGGAUGUACUUCCAAAAGAAAUGUGACUGGCAUGACCUCCUCCCUAGGAAUCUCUUCAAACAGCCGGGAAAGACUGGUCACCUGAGAGGAGAUUGGAAGUCCUCACUGCACUCAGAAAGGCUGUUGUCCAUUCUUCUAGAGACUUUAUCUGAAUAACAAGGCAACUUUUGUUUACCAUUCAGUUCCUCCCCUUUCCUUUCUAACUUGUCACCACCUCCCCCAAAAGCCUCAAGCCUCCACUCCUACAAGCUAUAAAGACUUCAACCAUC
ensembl:lncRNA LINC00494 long intergenic non-protein coding RNA 494